GCUGUGGUUCAGUGGCAGGACAUCUGCACUGACUGCAGAAGGUCGCAAGUUCAAUCCUUGGUGUCUGCA